AUGGCAACGAUAUUGUUGCAGUUACAGAGAGUCAUAAGAAACGGAAGUGUUAAUUUGAUCUCCACACUCCCGCAUUCGUCAUCUUACUCUUCUUCUAGAUCUUUCUCCAAAUCAUCACCCUACGUUGUCAAGGUUGGAAUUCCGGAAUUUCUAAACGGAAUUGGAAGCGGGGUCGAAUCUCAUGUCGCCAAGCUCGAUUCAGAAAUCGGUGACUUCCAGAAGCUUCUUGUUACUAGAACACUCAAACUCAAGAAACUCGGUAUUCCUUGCAAGCAUAGGAAGCUUAUAUUGAAACAUACACACAAGUACAGGCUGGGAUUAUGGAGGCCACGAGCUGAACAGGUCAAAGCGUGA